UAAGACAGAGGUGCCAAGCGUUAGGCGGAAUCACUGGGCUUAAAGCGUGUGUAGGCGGAUCGUUAAGUACCUUGUGAAAUCCCACGGCUCAACCGUGGAACUGCUGGGUAUACUGGCGAUCUUGAGCCACCUAGGGGCGAGCGGAACAAGCGGUGGAGCGGUGAAAUGCGUAGAUAUCGCUUGGAACGCCAAUGGUGAAAACAGCUCGCUGGGGGUGU
rnacentral:rRNA from 1 species